rnacentral:rRNA from 1 species
UACGAAGGGGGCUAGCGUUGCUCGGAAUCACUGGGCGUAAAGGGUGCGUAGGCGGGUUGUUAAGUCAGGGGUGAAAUCCCGGAGCUCAACUCCGGAACUGCCUUCGAUACUGAGAGUCUCGAGUCCGGGAGAGGUGAGUGGAACUGCGAGUGUAGAGGUGAAAAUUCGUAGAUAUUCGCAAGAACACCAGUGGCGAAGGCGGCUCACUGGCCCGGUACUGACGCUGAGGUGCGAAAGCGUGGGGAGCAAACAGGG